AGUACAGACAUGCUCAGCUGCUGGCUGGCUCACACGCUCACGUGCGCGUGCAGACCCAUGCCCACACACUCACACACACACACAGGAUGAGGAUGGGCUUCCUGUCCCUGGAACAUGUGUCCAAGGACGUGAACUGCGUGUCUGGUUUCAGUGUCGGUAUCCGAGCUGGGCUCUGUGUGCCCCGUCCGCCUGCAGGAGGGGAGUGAGCUGACCUCAGCAGGGCUCUUAGUUCUGGGGUCCUGCGCACAGCAGGCUCCACCACAAAACCCAUCAGGACCCUACAGGUCAAAAGGUACGUGCCUCCAGCACUGUCCUGGGAUGUGGCGAUCAGGGCCGAGAGGCUCGCAAUGGUGGCCUAGGGCAGGGAUGACACAGGGGGCGUCGCUCACUGCUCACUGCCCCCUUCCUGGAAUCCUGCUCCACAUGCAGCCCUGGCCACGACCAUCCAUCAACCGGGUGGAGCGGGCCGGGAGUGGUUCCCCGCCUCACCUGGGCUCAGGUUGGGGGUGAGGGUGGUGAGCGCAGGGAGAGGCAUAGGUGGCAGGGCCAUCCUAGGGGCCUGAGGACCCGGGGUGAGACCUCUGGCCGGGGUCCCAGCUGCAGGGGCAGGUCCCUGAGGGAAGGGGGGGCUCUGGGCAGGGGUGGCAUGGGGUCUGUGAUGUUCAUUGCUGAGGGUGGAUUGGGAGGUGCUUCAUCUCUAAGGGGCGCUGGGCGGGAGCUGCGUCCAGGGAACACGGGCAGUGGUGGGUUCUUGGGACCUUCCACGUUGGCAACUGUUGCCUGCAGAGCGGGGUUGGUUGGAAAGUGAGGGUACAGCGCAUAUGCGGACGUCGUCUCCAAGCCCCAGGGAACGCGCCGGACAUUCGGCGUCCUCGGCUCCGAGCCAGAGCAGGUUGGACUGAGGAGAAGCAGGGGCCCUCCCCUAAGGUGCCCCGGGCGCCAGACGUGCACCUGCUACCACAAGCUGGGGUCCCUGGGGGCAGGGCUGCGAGGGCCCAGGUGCCUGCUGUCAGGGGCGCACAGAAGACCGGGAAGGCCGAUGACCACGCACAGGUUCUGCGGGCGGCGCCACCUGCAGUGACCUGCUGGACGUCCUCGGUCUGUCCUUGUUUUCCCAACAGCCAGACGGCUUACCAUCGCCAUACCUUUCUGUGCCUCAGCUUCCCCAAUCUACAGAACGGGAAUCGCUGUGCCUUCCAAUUUAGGAGGGCGUUCACACCUGCUGAUUUUGAUGGUCUGUUAAGGCUGCUCGGCUCCGGGCAGGGAUGGCGGCUCCAGGAUGCCGAGAUCUUGAAGGAAGAGGUUGUGAAGCAGAGGAACACCCAGAGGUCUGGCCUGGAGGCGGUGCCUCCCUCCCCACGCCCCACGCCCCACGCGCCCGAGGGUGGGAAGGGCGGCCUCCGCUCCCGCGGCGAGAAGCAAGUGCUGCUCAGGACGCCCUUCUGGUUCGGGCCUGAAUCAAGCCGGGCUGGCCCCGCGGUGGCCUUGGGAAGACCCCUGAGGCCCAGGGAAUAAGGCUGCCCGGCGGGGCUCUGGUGCCGCAGAGGUCACGUGGGGAGGCAGGUGAGGACGCUGCUUCCGCACAGCACGUCCCAGCCAGGUGCACAGGCUGACCCCGUGUCCCAGACAUGCCGGCCUUCAUCGCCCUUGUGGCAUCGCUCCGAGUGCUCCUGGGUGUUCUCUUCCUCCCGUGAGCUGUGUGACCCGGCCGUGUGACACCUUACCCCCCUCCCACUCCUUGUCCCCCUCCGGGGUCGGUGCUGGGGGAGCGAGGCCCAGAGACCACGGCUUUGACAGCCUGACGGAUGUGACCUCGCUGCUGUGCCCGGCUUGACAGGCUGUGGCUGGCAGCUGCCCUUGGCCGAGCUCUAAAGAUGCUCCAUGGGGAAGAGUCUGAGCCACCCUCAGAUCCCACUCAGAAAGAAGGGGACUCUGCAGAAUUAGAACAAGGGACCCAGAAACCCAGCAAGAGGAGGGGAUGCCCGAUAAAGGAUGGCCUGGGUAGCAGGUGUCCUGUGCCCAGGGGUAGAGUCUGCUUCUCAAAGACUGCAGCUCCCAUUACAGCGCUGCACACACGUAUCUCCCACCUGGGGCAAAGCCGCCACUGGGGUCGGAGAGACUGAGUCUCAGAAGCAGAGGGGCCCCACCAGGGGGGUCAGGUCUGUGGCUUUCACCCCACCUCAUCCCAACAUGCCCAGUUCCCCUGGGGAUGAGGCACUUCUCGGGUUGUAGGAUGCCACGAGAGACACCGGGGCGCCCAUGAAAACCAGGAUGAGUGUGUCGAGUACUGGGAAGCUCUUUAAGAAAUACCAGCAUUGGUAUUGCUGCAUUGGCUCAGCGGUUUAGCGCCGCCUUCAGCCCAGGGCAUGAUCCUGGAGACCCGGGAUCAAGUCCCACGUCGGGCUCCCUGCAUGGAGCCUGCUUCUCCCUCUGCCUGUGUCUCUCCUUCUCUCUCUCUCUGUCUCAUGAAUAAAUAAAAUCUUAAAAAAAAAAAAAAAUACCA
rnacentral:lncRNA from 12 species